rnacentral:rRNA from 1 species
AUUGAACGCUGGCGGCAGGCUUAACACAUGCAAGUCGAACGAGUGGCGGACGGGUGAGUAAUGCCUGGGAAUCUAGCUUAUGGAGGGGGAUAACUACGGGAAACUGUAGCUAAUACCGCGUACCAUAGGAUGAGCCCAAGUGGGAUUAGGUAGUUGGUGAGGUAACGGCUCACCAAGCCGACGAUCCCUAGCUGGUCUGAGAGGAUGACCAGCAAAACUGGGACUGAGAAACGGCCCAGACUCCUACGGGAGGCAGCAGUGGGGAAGAUUGCGCAAUGGGGGCAACCUGACGCAGCCAUGCCGCGUGAAUGAAGAAGGCCUUCGGGUUGUAAAGUUCUUGCGGUAGGGAGGCGUUAACUACAGAAGAAGCACCGGCUAACUCCGUGCCAGCAGCCGCGGUAAUUC